AGUGAACGCUGGCGGUAGGCCUAACACAUGCAAGUCGAACGGCAGCACAGUAAGAGCUUGCUCUUACGGGUGGCGAGUGGCGGACGGGUGAGGAAUACAUCGGAAUCUACUUUUUCGUGGGGGAUAACGUAGGGAAACUUACGCUAAUACCGCAUACGACCUACGGGUGAAAGCAGGGGAUCUUCGGACCUUGCGCGAUUGAAUGAGCCGAUGUCGGAUUAGCUAGUUGGCGGGGUAAAGGCCCACCAAGGCGACGAUCCGUAGCUGGUCUGAGAGGAUGGUCAGCCACACUGGAACUGAGACACGGUCCAGACUCCUACGGGAGGCAGCAGUGGGGAAUAUUGGACAAUGGGCGAAAGCCUGAUCCAGCCAUACCGCGUGGGUGAAGAAGGCCUUCGGGUUGGAAAGCCCUUUUGUUGGGAAAGAAAAGCAGCAGGUUAAUACCCCGCUGUUCUGACGGUACCCAAAGAAUAAGCACCGGCUAACUUCGUG
rnacentral:rRNA from 1 species